rnacentral:rRNA from 1 species
UAGGGAAUCUUCGGCAAUGGACGAAAGUCUGACCGAGCAACGCCGCGUGAGUGAAGAAGGUUUUCGGAUCGUAAAACUCUGUUGUUAGAGAAGAACAAGGACGUUAGUAACUGAACGUCCCCUGACGGUAUCUAACCAGAAAGCCACGGCUAACUACGUGCCAGCAGCCGCGGUAAUACGUAGGUGGCAAGCGUUGUCCGGAUUUAUUGGGCGUAAAGCGAGCGCAGGCGGUUUCUUAAGUCUGAUGUGAAAGCCCCCGGCUCAACCGGGGAGGGUCAUUGGAAACUGGGAGACUUGAGUGCAGAAGAGGAGAGUGGAAUACCAUGUGUAGCGGUGAAAUGCGUAGAUAUAUGGAGGAACACCAGUGGCGAAGGCGGCUCUCUGGUCUGUAACUGACGCUGAGGCUCGAAAGCGUGGGGAGCAAACAGG